rnacentral:lncRNA from 1 species
CUAUUAUUCGUAUCGAUUAAACGCCAGAUAGUCUAAUUAGCUCUUUUAUUCGUUGAGAUUAAACGUCUAUCAAAUGGAUCAGAAAACACACAUCCCAGGUAAUGCAAGAAAAAUCAAGACCUAUAUAUCUUACGAAAAUUAAAAAUAUGAUGAAUUAAUCAAAAUCUAACUUAUUGAACAAAAAAAAAAAAAUCAGAUUUCUUUGUUACCUGUUGGAGGAGGGAAAUGGGGCUGCCCUUCUCCGGACAUCGCAAGACGAGGGGUGAGAGGGGCGAGACAAGAUCGAGGCAAGAAAAUGGCGGCCGAGGUUAGUGCGGCGGCGGCGGCGGCCGAGGUGAUCGUGACUUUGGCUGUAGUAGCGUGCGAGAUGUGUGCGGCUGCGGCAGUAGCCCGCGAGAUGGCGGCGACGGCGGCAGCCCGCGAGAUGGCAGCAGCGGUGGCCGAGAUCCUCGGCGGCGACUGAGAGAGAUGCGGCUGAGGAGAGAGAGAGGAUGGGAGGAAGCUGUGGAUUGGAGAGGGCAACGGAAGGGAGAGACGCGAGAGAAGUCGGGCGAGGGGGGAGCCGCUCCAAAAAAAAUAGGGUAACUUUUUUUCCAAAGAAAAUAUCAGAGGUUACUUUUACCCCAUUUUUUAGGGUAUAGUUAAACUAUACCCUAUUUUGUUGGGAUAUUUUUUAAACAUCCAAACACCUCUUAGGAAUUUUUUCCCACACCCAUAGGAUAACUAUACUUUACCCCAAAAAUAUAACCAUCCAAACAGGCCCUNNNNNNNNNNNNNNNNNNNNNNNNNAUAUAUAUAUAUAUAUAUAUAUAUAUAUAUAUAUAGAGAGAGAGAGAGAGAGAGAGAGAGAGAGAGAGAGAGAGAGAGCUAGUCUCCUAUAAUAUCUAUGGUACCGAGGCUCUGGUACUAUAGUCUCGUUUUUUAUUUUAGGGUGUUCAAAUCAACGAUCCACACCGUUAAAACUGAUUUAGGGUAUUUAAAGUUUUUAGAAAUAAAAUUUUAUAUUUUUUCGACAUAGUUUAUUUUAUGAUCAAACCAUUUCAAAAUUAUCAAUUUUCAAUGGCAAGUUUGGAGUUUAACAGUGUAGAAGAAUCUAAAUUUCUUCAAAUUUUGAUAGAAAAUACUGUAAACUAUUUAGAUUAAGGUUAACAUUCUUGACUUUGAAUUUAAAAAGUCCUAUACUCAAAUUUUGAAGAUUAUUCAAUCUCUACCGUCUAUUUUGACAUAAUUUAUUUACCAAGUAAACGAUGUCGAAAAAAACUAAAAUUUUAUUCCUAAAAGCUUCAUAUACCCAAGAUCAUAUGUAACGGUGUGGAUCGUUAAUUUGAAUAUCCUAAGAUCGAAAACAAGACUAUAGUAUCGAAACUCCGGUACUAUAGAUAGUAUAGUAGCCUAAUUCUAUAUAUCUAUACUACAUAUAAAAGCACCUAUUUCAAAUUUGGAUCUGUCGACAGACCCAUAUUUUAGCGGAAAAAAUAUUGAUUUCUCUUUCCGUACGUAAAAUAAAUAACAUAAUGAAACAAACUUUUAAUUUCGGUUUAUCUUUAAAAUAGAAAAAAAAUAUAUACUUAUCUAAAUUUUUGCCAACCAAAAGAUAUCUACUGUGAAUCUAUAUUUUAAUUAAAAAAUUAUUUAUUUUUUUAUCUCUAAAAUAGAAAAAAAAUUAUACUUAU